UUUGGUUUGAUUGCCUCAAUCCAUAGCUGUUUCAUCCCAUCCCCUUCUCUUUGUCCGCGCAUCUGGAUUUUUGUUGGGUCUAUACGGCGAAUCUAUAAAAAAACCAUGGCGAGGUCAGCUUGGUCUAAGAGUACGUCGGUGAGGUGUUGCGUUACUGCCUCCGAUUAUUCGGUAUGUAUCUCACUAUAUGAUCCAUUAAAAUAUCAUUAUAUAUAUGCGUGUUUUUUUCUAACAAUUCUAAUCUACAACGAAACAUUUUAUGUGCAAUCAAUAAAUAGUGAUAAGCAAAAGGAGCGUGGAAGACAAUGUAAAUCUCAAAGCAUUGGUGAAAAUGUUACUUUUACAAUUGCAUUUAGCUGCUCAUUUCAUUAUUUAGCGCCAUCAUAAUUUAGUUACUUGUUAAAUAUCGUGUUAUCAGAUAAUAAUGGUAGUAACAGUGUAGCUAGUAUAUUAACCAAUAAUAUUAAUAUUAUUUGUUAAAUUAUUAUUAAAAUUAAUCCUACCAAGUAUAUUUUGGAUGCUCUCAUAGAUGGAUGUGGAGUCUAUUUUUGAUGACACAUAAGACGGCUAGUGCAGGUGGUACAAACUCUCGGUGGUUAGAUGAAGAGGAAGAUGGCUUGGUGGAUAACAUGGUUCCCUUCAUCGGCGAAGGAUAUGUUUUCCGGAAAAAACAUAUUUAAAGAUGGAUUCGAAAGCAGACAUUUAAUUCUUAAUGAGGAUUAAGCAAAGGCAAAAAGAAAAACGAGCUAACAAUGGCAAUGGUAUAUUGAGGGAGGUCCGUAAAUUGAUCGAGCGGCUGCUUGGAGAAGGCAGUUAACCACUACAGUUAUGUUUGUUUGUGGCACAUAACUAAUCAUGUUAACCAUUAAAACGAAGUGAUGAACCUAUCUGACUGUUGUUGCACUCUCAUGUUAACCAUCAAAAGAAGUGACAAACUACGACCAUAUAUUUUACUAGACUAUUAGCUGUUAAAUGUGUUCUCCUCCGCUAAAACAUUAUAUUUGCGUAUUUAUUUUUAAUCUUCUUAGUCAUAUAUGUGUGUUAACAACUGGGGAUGGCAGUUAAUUGUAUGUUUGUUCCGCUAAGACAUACACUAACUUCUAGAUUCCCACCACAAUAUUUAG
rnacentral:lncRNA from 1 species